rnacentral:lncRNA from 1 species
UGUUCAAUAUGAAGCUCGCUGAAGACAAGAAACAAAUAUCAUUCACUGUUAAGUGUGUGCCCUGAGACAAAGCUACUACAAUGGAGAAAUGUAUUAGGCAGUACUCGCUCCUAGGUAGUAAUCUUUCCAUUGGACUUUGGCUUGAAGUGGUAAAAACUUGUCAAACGUGUAUUGAGAUUUUAGACAUUUGAGGAUUGAGAUUAUGCAUCUUUUAGCUGGAUUUUAAAACAUGGUUAUUAUUGCUGUCGCCAGGAAUGAAGUGCCCUGUUGGUUGCACGCAGGCUCUGGCUGUUAUUUGCUGCCUUUGUCGUUAUUACUACCUGUGUAACUAUUUUAAGACGUUUUUGUAGUUCAAAUUGAAAUGUAAAAAUGUCUUAUAUUUAGUUACGAAGGUAGUACCUUAAAUUCUCCUGCCAUGUUCUUUAAUUGUGCUAAACUGAGCUUUGUAAUGUGCAAUUAAGGAACCUCUUUCCAUUACGUCAUUGUCAUGUUUGGGGGUAUGCCUGCCGCACAGUACUACCUUUACAAGAACAUCCCUAUAAACUUACAACUGUUCAGGCCUCCUUUGGUUCAUAGGAUAGGAAAAUCAUAGGAAUAGAGUCAUAAGAAAUGAGAUACAUGCAUCUCAAAUCCUAUGAGUAGGAAAGGAGAUGUCUUUUGAUUCACUUCAUAGGAUUUUUUUCAUUGAAUCUAGACUAAUGUUUAUUUUCCUAUGAGAUGUGAAGGAUAGGAAGAAUUCCGUCAUAGGAAUAGGAUUCCAUUCCUCCAAACCAACGGCUCUAAAGAAAUUUUUCCUACAAAAAUCCAAUCAUAUGAAAUUCCUACAAAAAUCCUCCAAACCAAAGGAGGCCUCAACCUUUACAAGAACAUCCUUAUAAAGUUAGAAAAUAACUCUGAGAUCUUUGGGCAUAUUGACGUUGUCGUUCUCUUGGUACACUGAGCAAAUCUCGAUGCUGCCUCUUGAUCUCUGGAGCACCAUCAGAGCAAGGAUAACAUUGUUGACACAAUGGCCGUUAACCCAGCAAUAGCGGACAGAGGACUAGAUUGCUGUCCCGGAAAAGAAGCAACGAGUAGGGUUGGACCGCAAAGCGUCGUGCAAAUUUCUACUACUAAAUGAGAGUUGGUGUUUGCACGUCACCAAAUGUGGUUUCAUCACUCCCUGGGUCAAUGAUUUCCCCUUUUUUCCGUCUUGCAAGCCAUGUUCUGCAUGUAACUCAAUCAAAUAUAUCAAAAUCAUGUCCUGCAUUAACUUAAUCAAAUUAAAUAAAAUCUUAUCAAAAUUUCACUUAAUCAAAACCUUCUUUAUCUUCCCUUAUCAUACUUAAAUUAAAUUAAAUCUUAUUAAAAUCUACAAUAUGAUGGGUGUAACGUAUACGUCGGAUAUGAUUGGUGUUGAACCUCUAGAAUAUGUAUGCCUCUGUUGCAACGCAGAGACAAUUAGUCAGUACUCUCUUUGUAAACUAAUAUAAGAGCGUUUAGAUCAUUAUAAACUAGUUAACGGAGGGAGUAAUUAGGUUUUGAGGGGAUUUCUUGCCGUCAAGUAUUCUCUUAUGUGUUGAGUACAUUGAAUGUACAAAAAUGGCUAUAAUAGAGUUUCCUUUGUUGAAUCUUUUUCAUGACUUGACAGAGAAUUUGAUAAGCCGAAGAUCCCAUUGUAUUCCAGAAGCUCGAGAAGCAUUUUUCGUUCAAAAUGCUAGAACUAGAUAAGGAAGUUUUCUAUCCUUGAUAAAAAAUUGACUCCAUGGUCCAAUGGAUAAGGUGCUGGUCUACCGAUCUAGUGACUCUGGGUUAGAUUAUAUUCAGUUUUUUGCCCUUCUUUGAUCUAACAAAUAUAUAAAUGUAAAGUCAGAUGUUGCCAUCAAGUGACUCCGUGGCCCAAUGGAUAAGGCGCUGGUCUACGAAACCAGAGAUUCUGGGUUCGAUCCCCAGCGGAGUCGGAUUUACCUUUUCGCUUUUUCUGCCGUUGUCUUGGGCCAAAAUAUGGGUACACCUCUCGUGAAGGAAGGCCCAAUAGGCCGUAUAGCUUUUUCUGGGCAAUUCCUAUUUGGCGCUGCAGGCGCCGGUCUGUUGUUUCUGCAAACCGGCGCCUGCAGGCGCGUCAACUGGGCCGGCCCAUCUAGAAUUUUCUUCUGUGUUUAAAAUGAAAAACCCAAAGUCGGAUUUACCUUUUCGCUUUUUCUGCCGUUGUCUUGGGCCAAAAUAUGGGUACACCUCUCGUGAAGGAAGGCCCAAUAGGCCGUAUAGCUUUUUCUGGGCAUUUCCUAUUUGGCGUUGCAGGCGCCGGUCUGUUGUUUCUGCAAACCGGCGCCUGCAGGCGCGUCAACUGGGCCGGCCCAUCUAGAAUUUUCUUCUGUGUUUAAAAUGAAAAACCCAAAGUCGGAUUUACCUUUUCGCUUUUUCUGCCGUUGUCUUGGGCCAAAAUAUGGGUACACCUCUCGUGAAGGAAGGCCCAAUAGGCCGUAUAGCUUUUUCUGGGCAUUUCCUAUUUGGCGCUGCAGGCGCCGGUCUGUUGUUUCUGCAAACCGGCGCCUGCAGGCGCGUCAACUGGGUCGGCCCAUCUAGAAUUUUCUUCUGUGUUUAAAAUGAAAACCCCAAAGCGGACUGCGCUGGUCUUGAUUCGAACCCGCGACCUCCCCGAGCAAAUUACAUGCGCAACCAACACGCCACCCGACUGGGUUCUGUUAGAAAUGAGCUUUCUACCUUUCUUAUUCUUUCUUUUCCCUUUUCCCUUUUCCCUUUUCCCUUUUUCUUUUUUCUAUUUUUUAUUUUCUGUUUUAAAUGCGUGAUUGUAAAUCGGAGUCGGAUUUACCUUUUCGCUUUUUCUGCCGUUGUCUUGGGCCAAAAUAUGGGUACACCUCUCGUGAAGGAAGGCCCAAUAGGCCGUAUAGCUUUUUCUGGGCAAUUCCUAUUUGGCGCUGCAGGCGCCGGUCUGUUGUUUCUGCAAACCGGCGCCUGCAGGCGCGUCAACUGGGCCGGCCCAUCUAGAAUUUUCUUCUGUGUUUAAAAUGAAAAACCCAAAGUCGGAUUUACCUUUUCGCUUUUUCUGCCGUUGUCUUGGGCCAAAAUAUGGGUACACCUCUCGUGAAGGAAGGCCCAAUAGGCCGUAUAGCUUUUUCUGGGCAUUUCCUAUUUGGCGUUGCAGGCGCCGGUCUGUUGUUUCUGCAAACCGGCGCCUGCAGGCGCGUCAACUGGGCCGGCCCAUCUAGAAUUUUCUUCUGUGUUUAAAAUGAAAAACCCAAAGUCGGAUUUACCUUUUCGCUUUUUCUGCCGUUGUCUUGGGCCAAAAUAUGGGUACACCUCUCGUGAAGGAAGGCCCAAUAGGCCGUAUAGCUUUUUCUGGGCAUUUCCUAUUUGGCGCUGCAGGCGCCGGUCUGUUGUUUCUGCAAACCGGCGCCUGCAGGCGCGUCAACUGGGUCGGCCCAUCUAGAAUUUUCUUCUGUGUUUAAAAUGAAAACCCCAAAGCGGACUGCGCUGGUCUUGAUUCGAACCCGCGACCUCCCCGAGCAAAUUACAUGCGCAACCAACAUGCCACCCGACUGGGUUCUGUUAGAAAUGAGCUUUCUACCUUUCUUAUUCUUUCUUUUCCCUUUUCCCUUUUCCCUUUUCCCUUUUUCUUUUUUCUAUUUUUUAUUUUCUGUUUUAAAUGCGUGAUUGUAAAUCGGUGAACUUUUCUUCAAAAUACGGACGUUUUUCAAAAAAUCAUGGCCUAUUUUCAAUUUUGGUGAACUUUUCUAAAAAAAAAUCAUGAACUUGUUUUUCAAAUUCAAUGAACUUUUUUUGGAGUUCAUGAACUUUUUUCAAUUUCGAUGAACUUUUUUCAAAUUUGAUGAACUUUUUUAAAAAAUUUGUGAACUUUUUUCAAAUUCGAUGAUUUUGUUUUUGAAAAUCCAUGAACUUUUUCAAUUUCGAUGAACUUUAUUCAAAUUUGAUAAACUUUUUCAAAACCGAUGAACUUUUUGUUUGAAAAUUGAUGAACUUUUUUCAAGUUUGUGAACUUUUCUUGAAAAUUGCUGAACUACUUUUGAAAAUCCAUGAACUUUUUCAAUUUCGAUGAACUUUUUGUUAGAAAAGUGAUGAAAGUUUUUUCAAGUUUGUGAACUUUUUUUAAAAAUUGAUGAACUUUGUUCGAAAUCUAUGAACCUUUUCAAAUUCAUGUUUUUUUCGUCGAAUAAUUCAAAAAAUAUUAAUUGGUACAAUUUUGUGCAAUAAAAUAGCGAGGAAGCUUUGUUAUUAUAUAAUUCUGCGCUGUUACUAACGCUAGUGGCAAGUAAUUCGAGUGGCUAGCUGAUCUCGCACGCUACUGAAACUACAUUUGUUCAAAACCUGUCCAAAGCAUUUAUUUUUGCGAUUUUUUGAACCCACGCUAUGAUUUUUUGGUGUUGUACACGUUAGUUGGGCCGGCCCAACUCGACGGUGUAGUAGGCGCCGGGGACGACUUCUGGCGCCUGUGGCGCCCAAUAGGAGCUCCCCUUUUUCUGCCGUUCUCUUGGGCCAAAAUAUGGGUGCACCUCUCGUGAAGGAAGGCCCAAUAGGCCGUAUAAGAAAGAAAUAGGCUCAGUUGCGCGUUUUCGCUCAUACAGGCAUAUAUGUCUCGCCUUCAGCGAGUCUUGCCCACGAGAGAGCUGGGCCGGCCCUCGAGCGCGGGAGGUCACAGGCUCUUUUUUCGGGAGCCCCUAUACGGCGCUGCAGGCGCCCGUUGGUGCUACCGGCGCUCGCUAGCGAUGCCUAGCGGGCCGGCCCACCAAUAGACUCGUUAAGAAAACGCGAAGAAAAAACAAAAACCUGUUGAUGUGGUUCGAACCCUGCACCUCAACAUUCACAGCUUAACGCCAUAACCACUUGACAAUCCUAGCUCUUCUGCCUACUACAAAGAAAACCGUCCUAGUUAAUGUUUCCUUUAGUAAAACGUUACCUUAUAACAAAUAUAAUUUUUUUUAAAUUCUUUUUAACAAAACAAGAUCAUCAAUUUUUACCCAAAAAAAUCAUUGUUUUUUGGGGGAAAAAGUUAUUUUGAAAUAAGUUCAUCAAUUUUAUAAAAGGUUCACCUAUUUGGAAAAGAGUUCAUUGAUUCUGAAAAAGGUUCAUCGAUUUCGAAAAACAGUUCACCGAUUUUGAAAAAAAGUUCAUCGAUUUUGAAAAAAAGUUCAUGGAUUGUGAAAAGAGUUCAUCGGUUUUGAAAAAAGUUCAUCGAUUUCGAAAAACAGUUCACCGAUUUUGAAAAAGAGUUCAUCCAUUGUGAAAAGAGUACAUCGGUUUUGAAAAAGAUUUCAUCAAUUUAGAAAUAAAGUUCAUCGAUUUUGAAAAAAGUUCAUCGAUUCUAAAAAAAAAAUCAUGGAUUGUGAAAAGAGUUCAUCGAACUAGAAAAAAGUUCAUCGGCUGUGAAAGAUAGUUCACCGAUUGUGAAAAAAAGUUCACUGAUUUUGAAAAAGAGUUCAACGAUUUAAAAAAAACGUUCUUUCAAAUUAGCAAAAGAAAAAGGAAAAAACGUUCCGAAAAGAAAGAAAAAGAAAAAGAACAAAAAACAUAACAAAACUGUUCCAAAUAAAAAGGAAAAAGAAAUAGGAAAAAGGAAUUGUUACAAGAAUAAAAUGGAGAAGAAGCAGUAGAUAAGCAACUAAUAUGAGGCAGUGGGGUGGUUAGCAAAAGACAGCGAGGUCGUGGGAUCGAUUCCUGUCAAAAGCGCUCCUUUUUUUGUCCUCCUUCCAGGAAGGAAAGGAAAAGAUGGGCCUGCUCCUUCCAGGAAGGAAAGGAAAAGAUGGGCCAGGCCCAGCUAACGCGGCCGCAGGCGCCGGUUUGCUGAAACAGCUAUAACCGGCGCCUGCAGCGCUAAAUAGGAAAUGCCUCUUUUUUCUGUCUUCUUUUUUUACUUUUGUUUAUACUUUAAAAUAUUUCAUAUAUAAAAAAUGGGCUACGCUACAGUGGGCUGGCCCGAUGCUGUAGUGCUCUACGUGAGACCUCCCUCUCGUCUCGCGUAAUGCGAGAUAUAGACGCUGCACCCCAUUGGGCGCUUCCGGCCCCAGUUAUGCAGUUCAACCUGCAAACCAGCGCACACUACGUCUCAGUUCUAGGCAGGCCCAUUCUACAUUUUUCUUUUCUGUUUAAAACUCAAAAAAGGGUGCCAAAGUGCGGGAGGUCCUAUUGGACACAUUCUGCAUCAAUUAGCGACCCCGACACACAGGCACAUGCCCCUACUGGGCCGGCCCAUUGUAGCCAGCGGCGCACGCAGCGAAUGGCGUAUUGCAGCUAACUGCACACUAUAGUGAUCAAUCUGUGGUUGAGAUGGUUAGGUUGACAGUGGUAUCCCCAACCCAUCAGGGUUCAAAUUCUGGUGCUCGCAUUAUUCCUGGAUUUAUUUCAGAAUUUCCGGCGAUGCGUUUUCAGUGGGAGGAGACGUUCCCGUCGAUGACGAGGUGCCUACAGUGACUUCGUAUAUCUCAAGAUGAUGUGCCGGCUCAGUCUUUCGGAGAUGCUCAUAGGGAUAGGGUGUGCGUUCAUAGGGGUGAGUGUAUGCGCGUGUAUAUGAGCGCUUGUGUCUGUACUGAUGCUCAAAAAAAAACUGCACACUAUAGCGACUAUGUACUGUAGCGAUCCAGUUUAAUGUAGUGAAUCGGUUUUUCGGCCCAUGUUUUUAUUUCAAACAUUUUCCAAAUAAAUAAAUAUAUUUCCGAAAAUGUGAACAUUUUAUGAAAUUCCGAACUUUUCAAAAUUGGGAACAUUUUUUGAAAAUUUCCGAACAUUUUUUGAAUUUGUAAAGAAAUUUGGAAAAAGGGACAUUUUCUGAAAUUCCAAACAUUUUUUGAAACGUGAAUUUUGUUUUUAAAUUCUAAAAUGUGAACAUUUUUGAAUUUGUGAUUUUUUUGAAAAAAGGAACAUUUUUUAAAUUCCGAACAAAUUUUUAAAACCUUGAAUAUUUUUUCAAUUUGUGAACAAAAUUUGAAGAACACGAACAUUUUUUGAAAAUUCGGAACAAAUUUUUUGAAACCGGAAACAUUUUUUGAAUUUGUGAAAAAAUUUUGAAAACGGGAUUUUUUUUGAAUUUGUGAAAAAAAUUCUGAAAACAGGAACAUUUUUUAAAUUCGGAAACAAAAUUUCAAAAAAGCUUGAAAAGAAAAAAGGAAAAAAAAGAAAAAUGAAAGAAGCAGAAAAAAGAAAAGAAAAAACAAAAAAGAAGAGAAAUAGAAAAAAGAAAAAAAUAAGCUGAAAAAGAAAAAGCCGGUUCUGGAACCUUCUACAACGUUUCCAAAACCGAAAAAAAAA